GGAUGUGUUACUUCCUGUUGGUUACAGUGCAUUCUAUACAAUUUUAUUUUUUUCACUAUGCAAAUGUUGCCAAAAUCUUAAUAGUAUAAUACCUAAUUAUACUGAUGUGUUUAUUACCUAUGACAACCUAAUAUUUUCAUUGAAUUUGUUUUGGGCAAAAAUUGCUGCUGUUUGUGCUUAAAUGUUAGAUUAUUAAUUUUAAGCAGGGCUGAAAGACACUAAUACAAAUAAUUCAUUUUUAUGCCCCACCAAUGAUAGUAGAGGGGCAUUAUGUUUUCUGGUCUGUGCGUCCGUUCGUCUGUCCGUUCGUCUGUCUGUCUGUUCGUCCGUCUGUCCCGCUUCAGGUUAAAGUUUUUGGUCAAGGUAGUUUUUAAAGAAGUUGAAGUCCAAUUGACUUCAAACUUGGUACACAUGUUCCCUAUGAUAUGAUCAUUCUAAUUUUAAUGCCAAAUUAGAGAUUUUACCCGAAUUUCAC
rnacentral:lncRNA from 1 species